rnacentral:tRNA from 1 species
UUACAUAUAGUGUAAUAUAACACAUUAGAUUUUCAUGCUAAAGAUACAAAUAGCUGUUAUGU